rnacentral:rRNA from 1 species
AACGAACGCUGGCGGCAUGCCUAACACAUGCAAGUCGAACGAGACCUUCGGGUCUAGUGGCGCACGGGUGCGUAACGCGUGGGAACCUGCCCUUAGGUUCGGAAUAACUCCCCGAAAGGGGUGCUAAUACCGGAUAAUGUCUUCGGACCAAAGAUUUAUCGCCUUUGGAUGGGCCCGCGUUGGAUUAGCUAGUUGGUAGGGUAAAAGCCUACCAAGGCGACGAUCCAUAGCUGGUCUGAGAGGAUGAUCAGCCACACUGGGACUGAGACACGGCCCAGACUCCUACGGGAGGCAGCAGUGGGGGAUAUUGGACAAUGGGCGAAGGCCUGAUCCAGCUAGGCCGGGUGAGUGAUGAAGGCCUUAGGGUUGUAAAGCUCUUUUACCCGGGAUGAUAAUGACAGUACCGGGAGAAUAAGCUCCGGCUAACUCCGUG